GCACUUCGAAGGUAACAACAACAGAGAUCGACCAAAUAGAAACAACACAAAAAGCAACCCAAUUCUCGGGAGAAUCAUCAAUUGUUGGAAACAAAACAUCAUUUCCAACUUGUGGACAAAAUCAGAAGAUAGUCUUACACAAUAGGCAGCCACAAAUGAACUGUACUUCUACGGAUAACAAAUUAGUAGCAUCUUUAAGUAGCAGAGUACAAACAACUACCUCUGACAAUGCUAAUAUCCCCAUACCAAAUCCAGAAUGAUAUGGAAGGAAAACACGUAUAUGAAGAAGGAGAGGAAGAGGAUAUCUUAACGCAAUGCUGGAAGAAUGGGGGAUUUGUCACCAACGCACAGUAAAACAAGUAAAAAAAGUCAUCAAAGGGAUAGAAGUUGGGACGGCAGGAUGGCUGAAGACGCAAACAAAAAGAAGCUCCCAAUGCGAAUUGCAAAACAAAAGCAGAUUACUCAAAAUACCUUUAAAAAGCCCAGUAAAACAAAGAACAAAGCAUGAAUUCUAAUUGCAAAACAAAAGCAGAUUACUCAAAAUACCUUUAAAAAGCCCAGUAAAACAAAGAACAAAGCAUGAAUUCUGAAGAUCUUUUCGAAUUCAUCGCAAAGUUGGAGAAAGGACAACACAUUACUCGCUUCCUCAUUUUUCACUUUAUCAUCUUAAUAUCCUCAUAUGUAAUAUCACAACACAGUUGUGUUAUGAACUCUGUGGUGAUCAUGCUAUACUUCGG
rnacentral:lncRNA from 1 species